AGAGUUUGAUCCUGGCUCAGGACGAACGCUGGCGGCGUGCUUAACACAUGCAAGUCGAACGGAAAGGCCCUUCGGGGUACUCGAGUGGCGAACGGGUGAGUAACACGUGGGUGAUCUGCCCUGCACUUUGGGAUAAGCCUGGGAAGCUGGGUCUAAUACCGAAUAUGACCAUGCGCCUCCUGGUGUGUGGUGGAAAGCUUUUGCGGUGUGGGAUGGGCCCGCGGCCUAUCAGCUUGUUGGUGGGGUAAUGGCCUACCAAGGCGACGACGGGUAGCCGGCCUGAGAGGGUGACCGGCCACACUGGGACUGAGAUACGGCCCAGACUCCUACGGGAGGCAGCAGUGGGGAAUAUUGCACAAUGGGCGCAAGCCUGAUGCAGCGACGCCGCGUGAGGGAUGACGGCCUUCGGGUUGUAAACCUCUUUCAGCACAGACGAAGCGCAAGUGACGGUAUGUGCAGAAGAAGGACCGGCCAACUACGUGCCAGCAGCCGCGGUAAUACGUAGGGUCCGAGCGUUGUCCGGAAUUACAGGGCGUAAAGAGCUCGUAGGUGGUUUGUCGCGUUGUUCGUGAAAACUCACAGCUUAACUGUGGGCGUGCGGGCGAUACGGGCAGACUUGAGUACUGCAGGGGAGACUGGAAUUCCUGGUGUAGCGGUGGAAUGCGCAGAUAUCAGGAGGAACACCGGUGGCGAAGGCGGGUCUCUGGGCAGUAACUGACGCUGAGGAGCGAAAGCGUGGGGAGCGAACAGGAUUAGAUACCCUGGUAGUCC
rnacentral:rRNA from 1 species